AGUUUUUAUUGCAGUUUCAUUCCAUACCUUGUUUGAAGGUGACUGAGAAGCCAAGUGGGAAUGAAAGUGAAUGCCUGUAAUCUGCAAUUACUGUCCAGACCAAGUAAAAUUCCAAGAACACACAAGACAAGAGCCAUAGCCUACAAUCUGCUUUCCAGUUAAUCUCGUAAAAUAUCACACCAACCUAGAUAAAGUUUACAUGGAAGCAGCAAUGUGCUAAGACAUUAGAACUUUUAUUUUCACAAAAUCUUGUCACUUUUCAUCUGGAUCAACAUGAGGAAUUUCUCAGCAGAGGAAGAAUUUUGCCUGGUAAAGGAAAAAACGUAAAACUCACAUUUUGGUGUGAAAAUUCGCACUGAGAAGAGGGCCGCACAAAGAGGUGUAAAGAUGAGAAUUAUUAGCGCAAUCGAUUAACCCUGUAGUUAAAGUAGGUUUUAAUGAGUAUCUCUGACUUUUAUGCAUUUUUGUGCAGAACUGUUUGUGAGAACAGAAAUAUUAAUAUAAUCAUAUUAAUCAUACAACUAUAUAUACUUUGUAACACCAUCAUCCUCUAUUAGUUACAGAGUUAUUAGAUCAAUGAGUUUGUGAUAUGAUAUAUUUACUGCCAAGGUUAUAUAAAAGAAAGUCAUAAUGAAACAAA